rnacentral:rRNA from 1 species
ACCUACGGGACGCAGCAGUGGGGAAUAUUGCGCAAUGGGCGAAAGCCUGACGCAGCGACGCCGCGUGAGGGAUGAGGGUCUUCGGAUCGUAAACCUCUGUCCGCAGGGAAGAACGGUCACUGUGCUAAUCAGCAGUGAAUUGACGGUACCUGCAAAGGAAGCACCGGCUAACUCCGUGCCAGCAGCCGCGGUAAUACGGAGGGUGCGAGCGUUAAUCGGAAUUACUGGGCGUAAAGCGCUCGUAGGCGGUAUGUCGAGUCAAGGGUGAAAUCCCCGCGCUCAACGGGGGAACUGCCUUUGAAACU